rnacentral:rRNA from 1 species
UACGUAGGGUGCGAGCGUUAAUCGGAAUUACUGGGCGUAAAGCGUGCGCAGGCGGUUCGUUAAGUCAGAUGUGAAAGCCCCGGGCUCAACCUGGGAACUGCAUUUGAAACUGGCGGGCUUGAGUGUGGCAGAGGGGGGUGGAAUUCCCAGUGUAGAGGUGAAAUUCGUAGAUAUUGGGAAGAACACCGGUGGCGAAGGCGGCGACCUGGUCCGAUACUGACGCUGAGGCGCGAAAGCGUGGGGAGCAAACAGG